UACAAAACCCCACAGCUCCUAGGAAUUCUCUCACCAGCCUUCUGCCCUUAGGCUCCGGAAGAUUGCAAAUGACCUCCUUUCUUUCGGAUCCCGGGCUGCUUUCGGACACCUGUCGAAUAGUAAAUCCCAAGUAAGCUACCUGCGGUCGUCGGCAGAUCUGAGUUUUCUUCUUGGACACCUAAUACCCACAGCCCUCCAGCCUCCCAACGUGCUGGGAUUGCAGGUGCGAGCCACCGGGUCCAGCCUUUCAGGCGAUUUUCAUACCUGCAUACUCUGAUCACUACUCUGUUAAACAGUCAAGGAGGCUGAGUGCCACGUGCUGACAUCACUAAGAUCAAUACAGCAAACUCUGAAAGAUGGACAGAGAGAGAGGAGAUGGUCCUUUAUAAUGCAGUGUGAUCUGUGCUGCAAUAGAGGACGGGAGAGGUUUAAACAUGUUACUACAUUGAAUAAAUGAAAUAACCAUGGACAUGGAGUGGCUAAAGAUUCUGAACUAAGUGCAAGUAAUUGAUAGCGCAAGCUCCCAAGGGGCUGGGGCCUGGAGCGCAGAUGGAUGGAUCCACUGUGGGCAGAACUGGGGCG
rnacentral:lncRNA from 1 species